GACGAACGCUGGCGGCGUGCUUAACACAUGCAAGUCGAACGGAAAGGCCCUGCUUUUGUGGGGUGCUCGAGUGGCGAACGGGUGAGUAACACGUGAGUAACCUGCCCUUGACUUUGGGAUAACUUCAGGAAACUGGGGCUAAUACCGGAUAGGAGCUCCUGCUGCAUGGUGGGGGUUGGAAAGUUUCGGCGGUUGGGGAUGGACUCGCGGCUUAUCAGCUUGUUGGUGGGGUAGUGGCUUACCAAGGCUUUGACGGGUAGCCGGCCUGAGAGGGUGACCGGCCACAUUGGGACUGAGAUACGGCGCAGACUCCUACGGGAGGCAGAAGUGGGGAAUAUUGCACAAUGGGCGGAAGCCUGAUGCAGCAACGCCGCGUGCGGGAUGACGGCCUUCGGGUUGUAAACCGAUUUCGCCUGUGACGAAGCGUGAGUGACGGUAAUGGGUAAAGAAGCACCGGCUAACUACGUG
rnacentral:rRNA from 1 species